CAAGAUUGUUGUGCUUUCUGGUCAAAGUUAAGUAUUUUACUUUACUGUUUGUGUGCCUUCUGCUAAAACUAGAAAAUAAUUAAGGUAGUUAUAAAUCCAAUUUUAUAUUAAUAAUGUCUUAUUAUAUUAAAGAUUUUCCUUGGUCAACAUUGGAAGUGAACAAGAUUUCUGCACAGAGAUUUUUCUUGGUCAAGAGUGCAACAUUAACUGUGGAUAUAAACUUUACGUUCAAAUGAACAUUGGAAGUGAACAACAUUUCUGCACAGAGAUUUUCCUUGAUCAAGAGUGCAACCAGCCACAUUAGCUGC